rnacentral:rRNA from 1 species
AUUGAACGCUGGCGGCAGGCCUAACACAUGCAAGUCGGGCGGAGCGGCGGACGGGUGAGUAAUGUAUGGGGAUCUGCCUGAUGGAGGGGGAUAACGUCCGGGAACGGGCGCUAAUACCGCAUACUACCAGAUGUGCCUAGGUCGGAUUAGCUAGUUGGUGGGGUAAAGGCCAACGAAGGCGACGAUCCGUAACUGGGCUGAGAGGAUGAUCAGUCACACUGGAACUGAGACACGGUCCAGACUCCUACGGGAGGCAGCAGUGGGGAAUAUUGGACAAUGGGCGAAAGCCUGAUCCAGCCAUGCCGCGUGUGUGAAGAAGGUCUUCGGAUUGUAAAGCACUUUAAGUUGGGAGGCGUUACCAACAGAAUAAGCACCGGCUAACUUCGUGCCAGCAGCCGCGGUAAUUC